AGAAUCAACGCUGGCGGCGUGCCUAACACAUGCAAGUCGCACGAGAAAGGGGAGCAAUCCCUGAGUAAAGUGGCGCACGGGUGAGUAACACGUGAAUGAUCUACCUCCGAGUGGGGAAUAACUGAGAGAAAUCUUAGCUAAUACCGCAUAACACUUACGAGUCAAAGCAGCAAUGCGCUUGGAGAGGAGUUCGCGGCCGAUUAGUUAGUUGGCGGGGUAAUGGCCCACCAAGACGAUGAUCGGUA
rnacentral:rRNA from 1 species